rnacentral:lncRNA from 1 species
AUUGUGUCUUGAUUUUCAACAUUCCUCUUGACUUUGUUAUUAUAGAUCUAGACUUAAAUGAAGCACAGACCGAAAACGUAUAACAUUUUGCUCCACUGAUGGUUGUUUUUAGAAGUUGUUGUUUAAGACAAAGACUCUGCUCAAGCAUGGUGGAUCUGUUAUGACAGUCAAACUUAAUGAAGUCCUUCGGCCUCAUCACUUAUUAUGAGUUCUACUCUUUGGUAAUAUUAUCACUCCUAAACUGCUUGUGUGUGACCUGUGGACAGAAUGCAAGCAUUCUUGACCUGGAUAUUGUCAUCUUUACAGGAACCAUUCAAUGACAGAUUUUACAAGAAAGUCCUAUUUUCUGAUCUGUCUUGAAGCUCCAUGUAGAAGGAAAUCUCCCAUCAUCCCUCACAGUUUUGGAAACUGGAAAAACCCUUCAGGAGCCCCGGACACAAGGUCCGAGAAGGAUGAACAGUAACUUUGUCUUGAAGCUGGCCUCUCCCAUGUGGUGUGGCUGUCCUUGAACCCUUCUCACCAAAGGCCUCUGGAAGAGAAAUGGCUGAGUCCACACAAAGGUGUCAAGUGGCUCCAGCUGCAAGGAGAGGAGAAAUACAGUGGCUGGGAACCAGGCACUUGAUGAAAUAGGUCCCUGCAGUAUUGAUUUUGAAUCUCUUUCACCAGUUAGCCAUUUUGAUUGAGGGUAUUGUCUGACACUGGGAUAGAAGGAAGUCGAAACUUGCCUUGAAUUUUAUUCCUCAGAUUCCCAGGGAGGGGGAAAAAUACCUUCACAUAGGUAAUAUAAAAAUAGCUAUGUUCCAAGGGAAUCUGAAAGAAAUAUUCAGAGAUUGCUGAAAACCAUAUAAUUUUGUAGUUGUACAAGCAGAGAUGACUUUUCUUCUUUAUUCAUUUUAAGAACAGUUUAAAUUGGUUUGUACAUAAUAAAAAUUUAGCCUUUCAUCA